UACGUAGGGUGCGAGCGUUAUCCGGAAUUAUUGGGCGUAAAGCGCGUGUAGGCGGACCAGCAAGUCGGACGUGAAAUCCCUGAGCUCAACUCAGGAACUGCAUCCGAAACUGCUGGUCUGGAGUGGUGGAGAGGGAAGCAGAAUUCCUGGUGUAGAGGUGAAAUUCGUAGAUAUCAGGAGGAACACCGGUGGCGAAGGCGGCUUCCUGGACACUUACUGACGCUGAGACGCGAAAGCGUGGGGAGCAAACAGG
rnacentral:rRNA from 1 species